rfam:Macrostomum lignano uti_cns_0018873, whole genome shotgun sequence.
UCCCUGAUGGUCUAGCGGUUAGGAUCCCUGGUUUUCACCCAGGUGGCCCGGGUUCGACUCCCGGUCAGGGAA